CCUACGGGAGGCAGCAGUGGGGAAUUUUGGACAAUGGGCGCAAGCCUGAUCCAGCCAUGCCGCGUGUGUGAAGAAGGCCUUCGGGUUGUAAAGCACUUUCGGACGGAACGAAAUCGCACGAGUUAAUAUCCCGUGUGGAUGACGGUACCGUAAGAAGAAGCACCGGCUAACUACGUGCCAGCAGCCGCGGUAAUACGUAGGGUGCGAGCGUUAAUCGGAAUUACUGGGCGUAAAGGGUGCGCAGGCGGCAUCGCAAGUCGAGUGUGAAAUCCCCGGGCUUAACCUGGGAAUUGCGCUCGAAACUACGAAGCUUGAGUGUGGCAGAGGGAGGUGGAAUUCCACGUGUAGCGGUGAAAUGCGUAGAUAUGUGGAGGAACACCGAUGGCGAAGGCAGCCUCCUGGGCCAACACUGACGCUCAUGCACGAAAGCGUGGGGAGCAAACAGGAUUAGAUACCCUGGUAGUCCACGCCCUAAACGAUGACGACUAGUUGUUGGGGGGUUAAAUCCCUUGGUAACGUAGCUAACGCGUGAAGUCGUCCGCCUGGGGAGUACGGUCGCAAGAUUAAAACUCAAAGGAAUUGACGG
rnacentral:rRNA from 1 species